rnacentral:rRNA from 1 species
UACGAGAGGUCCAAGCGUUGUCCGGAGUUACUGGGCGUAAAGGGUGUGUAGGGGGUAGUGUUAGUCUCCGCUCAAAUUCUCGGGCCCAACUCGAGAGCUCGCGGGGAAACGGCACAACUAGAGGGCGUGAGAGGCCAGUGGAACUCAUGGUGGAGGGGUGAAAUCCGUUGAUAUCAUGGGGAACACCAAAGGCGAAGGCAACUGGCUGGCGCGUACCUGACCCUGAAACACGAAAGCGUGGGGAUCAAAAAGG